UUGGGUUAUUGCCAUUGCAUGUACAGCAAAUGGUUGGCACCAACCAUUGACUAUUGGCAGCCACCAUUUUCAAUGGUUAGGCAACCUACCAUGCCUAACCUUGCAGCCAUGUUUGACAGCAGAACAAGUGGAGCAGCUGCCAUGAAAUGCCUAUAAAUAGAGGCAUUAUGUGAGAAGCAAAAUGAGAGGAGUGAAAACGUGAGUGUGUGUAAGAGAGUGGAGAGAAAGAGAGCUGCAAUGACAGCAGCCUUGCUGCCAUUGCAGCAGCUGCAAGUGCAGCAUUAAGAGCUGGGAGUUGAGAGAGUGAAGUGAUCCUCCUCCUCCAUAUAUAUUGUAAUCCUUUCUCUAUAUAUCUCAAUAAUAUAGACUCUCCCGUGGAUGUAGGCGGAUUUGCCGAACUACGUAAAAUAUUAUCUCA